rnacentral:tRNA from 1 species
GGCUGAAUAGCUCAGUGGUAAGAGCAGUCGCCUAGCAAGCGAAAGACUCGGGUUCGAUUCCCAAUUCAGCAA